rnacentral:rRNA from 1 species
AGUCGAGCGGGCCUUUCGGGGUCAGCGGCGGACGGGUGAGUAACGCGUGGGAACGUGCCCUCUGGUUCGGAAUAACUCAGGGAAACUUGAGCUAAUACCGGAUACGCCCUUUUGGGGAAAGGCUUGCUGCCGGAGGAUCGGCCCGCGUCUGAUUAGCUAGUUGGUGAGGUAACGGCUCACCAAGGCGACGAUCAGUAGCUGGUCUGAGAGGAUGAUCAGCCACACUGGGACUGAGACACGGCCCAGACUCCUACGGGAGGCAGCAGUGGGGAAUAUUGGACAAUGGGCGCAAGCCUGAUCCAGCCAUGCCGCGUGAGUGAUGAAGGCCUUAGGGUUGUAAAGCUCUUUUAUCCGGGACGAUAAUGACGGUACCGGAGGAAUAAGCCCCGGCUAACUUCGUGCCAGCAGCCGCGGUAAUACGAAGGGGGCUAGCGUUGCUCGGAAUCACUGGGCGUAAAGGGCGCGUAGGCGGCGUUUUAAGUCGGGGGUGAAAGCCUGUGGCUCAACCACAGAAUGGCCUUCGAUACUGGGACGCUUGAGUAUGGUAGAGGUUGGUGGAACUGCGAGUGUAGAGGUGAAAUUCGUAGAUAUUCGCAAGAACACCGGUGGCGAACGCGGCCAACUGG